UACAGAGGUGGCGAGCGUUGUUCGGAAUUACUGGGCGUAAAGGGCGCGUAGGCGGCCUUCUAAGUCAGACGUGAAAUCCCCCGGCUUAACCUGGGAACUGCGUCUGAUACUGGAGGGCUUGAGUGCGGGAGAGGGAUGUGGAAUUCCAGGUGUAGCGGUGAAAUGCGUAGAUAUCUGGAGGAACACCGGUGGCGAAGGCGGCAUCCUGGACCGACACUGACGCUGAGGCGCGAAAGCUAGGGUAGCAAACGGG
rnacentral:rRNA from 1 species